rnacentral:rRNA from 1 species
GAAACGACUGCUAAUACCGCAUAAGCCCACAGCUCGGCAUCGAGCAGAGGGAAAAGGAGCAAUCCGCUUUGAGAUGGCCUCGCGUCCGAUUAGCUAGUUGGUGAGGUAACGGCCCACCAAGGCAACGAUCGGUAGCCGGACUGAGAGGUUGAACGGCCACAUUGGGACUGAGACACGGCCCAGACUCCUACGGGAGGCAGCAGUGGGGAAUAUUGCACAAUGGGGGAAACCCUGAUGCAGCGACGCCGCGUGGAGGAAGAAGGUCUUCGGAUUGUAAACUCCUGUUGUUGGGGAAGAUAAUGACGGUACCCAACAAGGAAGUGACGGCUAACUACGUGCCAGCAGCCGCGGUAAAACGUAGGUCACAAGCGUUGUCCGGAAUUACUGGGUGUAAAGGGAGCGCAGGCGGGAAGACAAGUUGGAAGUGAAAUCUAUGGGCUCAACCCAUAAACUGCUUUCAAAACUGUUUUUCUUGAGUAGUGCAGAGGUAGGCGGAAUUCCCGGUGUAGCGGUGGAAUGCGUAGAUAUCGGGAGGAACACCAGUGGCGAAGGCGGCCUACUGGGCACCAACUGACGCUGAGGCUCGAAAGUGUGGGUAGCAAACAGGAUUAGAUACCCUGGUAGUCCACACCGUAAACGAAGAUUACUAGGUGUUGGAGGAUUGACCCCUUCAGUGCC